rnacentral:lncRNA from 1 species
GCGGAAGCGCAUGCGCUGUAGGCCGAACGGUCCUGUAACCGGACCCUGACCCUCGAGUAGGUCUGGGGGUUAGGGUUCUUCGGUGAAAUUGCUGCCAUCUAGUGCCCUCGUGGAUUAAAUUCAUCUCCAGGGUAAUCGCUGGGAUAAAUAACCUCAAAGUAUUAUUUAAAGGCUUCACAAAAAUUGUCCUUCAUCAAGCUUUCACCUACCUGGAACCUCUUGGUGCAGCUACUCACAACCACCCUUCUUCCCAUUGAUGUACUUGAGCUUUUCUGCUAUGACGGUUUGUUCCUGAAGGUGGGCAAGCCCUGAGCACUUCUGCAGAAAGAAGAAUAAUUGCUUCAUGUUGGAUCCUUCUAAUUAAGGUAACUGUGCAGAAAACACACACAAAUAUUCUGGUAAUUUUGAACUGUUCAGAUAUAAGUUGUUCUUAAAUUCUUCAGUGUGUCAACAUUUCUAAAGAACAUUUCUACAGGCUCACAUUCAUUUAUGCUCACAGUAAAGCUCUAAUACUGAUCAAUACAAUCUGUGUUUUACAGAUUAAAAUGAUGCAGAAAAACUAACGGCUGUGACAGGCUCCUUUGUCAGCAAGUUUAAAUUAAAUGUAAGGCAAAAAGCUGUGAUGGCUAAGAAAACAUGCACUGCAAUUGCAAUGUAAAAGUGAUAUAUACAUGCUAAGUGUCUGUAAACAUAUAUUUUUGUCAAUAUACAUUCACUAGGCACUGCAGUGUAACAGUAAUAAUGCUAGUGCUGUGUCAUCCAUACAACAAUUCUGCUGUGAGUUAAUAAAACCUCUUAGCCAUUCAAGAUGCUGUUUUGCAAAAGAAACUUAAAUAGCCCCAUAUCCACCAGUUUUGAUACCCAAUUUUCCUUUUGGGUAGUUUUGUUGUUGUUAAUCGGAAGCAGUCAAGUAGUUUGCUUCAAUAUCGUCAAAAAUAAAAUGGGUACCGUGGAGCCUGGUGCUACUGAUCUGCAUGCAAACAUCAGCUCUGCUGCUUCUCUGCUUCCAGAAAUCCCAGGGCAAAAGUGUUACCUAGCCAUAAAAAUCAGUAAAAUGUAGGAAAUAUUAGAGCCAACCUCCACAGAUGACAUUACAUCAGGAAAGCUCAAGCUAAAUUUUUGGUCAGAUAAUGUGGCAAUGGGGAUUUUAGUGUCUUUCUUAGAUGUUUUGGUGGUCUCAGCUUUCUUGGUUGCUAUGGCUAGAUACUGUAGUUGUGAAGGUGAUAUGGAGAAGGGCUAGGCAGUAAAAAACAGCCAAGGUGUCUGAACUUCAAGAAUUACAUUUCUCUUCAAUUUACAGUUUAUUUUAAGGAGUGUGUUUGUGUGUGUGUUGGGGGUGGAGGGCAGUAAGUAGAGGGAGGGGAUAAACAAAGCACAUUGUCCAAUUCCUGUCUGCUUCUGAUUGUGUCUCGAGCACUAGGAAUUUAAUCCCCUGAGAUGGUUUAUGUUGGCAACCAAACAGACAUUUCGUUUUCAUUCCAUAUUCCCAGUACCUCACAUUAGCUCAAGAAGACAUCAUAUAACGUCUGCUUUAUAAUCAGUGCCGUUAUUUCUUCCAUAAGCCAUCUACUUGUAGUUGUGCUCUGUACAAAAACCAUAACUCAGAACGUUCCCUGUGCUUGGCUGAACAAAGCAAAGUGAUGGAAAAUAAACUGAAUCAGCCUUCUAAUUUGUCAAGCUUGCUUUUCCAUUGGCAAUAGCCUUGACUCCUGUCUAACAUACCUGAUGAUUCACAUGUCCUGUUUGCUUUUCAAAUGUCUCCAAGUGACACAGUUAGAUUACUGGGAUAUAGUAACAUUUAAAGUGAGGAUAGUAGCUCAGUAAUAAUUCACUUAUGUGGAUGACAGCAUGGCCAUGACCUGUUUCCAGGAUCAUUAUUCCUGGUCUGUGACAGAACAGUAAAUUUUUUUACAAAAAGAUGUAUCUCUGAGCUUGAAAAUCCCUAUUUGAAAUUCUGUGGAUUUUACUGUAUGCCUCAGUAUUAACAUUUGUUCACAGAGUGGAGAUUGACUGGUAAUUGGCAAAGAACAUCUCUCUCAAUCUGUUAGAAAAUCUUCAGGCCAGCCUGUAAUUUUGCACCAUUAAAAACAGCAAUGAUCUAAUACCUACCAAAGACAUGGUUGGCAUUGGCAUUAAAUGCAGCUGCUUCAUUUUGGAAUUAAGGCCUUCUGAAACUGAAGUUUGAAAUAAUUUCUGUGACAAUACUGUUCGUGUUUUAUUGGCAAAUUAGUUUAAGGGCAAAGGCUUUUUUUAUUUUUGUAUAUUGAAUGCGCCCCUAAAUCAUUGUCCUGCCGCCUGAAAAUAUUAUUGAUUUGUAAAGUAUUACUUCAGCAAAUUGCUGUUUAUAUUAAUGCCAAUUGGGUUUGUAAUUUGAUGAAAAUUAUACACCAAAAGCCUAUGGAUUUCAUAAACUAUUCUGCCAGAAUAAUGCUAGAAAAUGUAUUGUGCAGCUGUUUGGCCAAAACAGGACUUGAUGCAGUGUUUUGAAAUCAUCUGCAAAAAGAUGUAUCUACUUUAAUUAUAGAUACUCUACUUUUUCAUUUUAAUCCGUUCUGCUAAUUCAUUACUUGCCUUUCUGUUGAGAGGAAGAGGCAGAUUUAGGCAAUCUGUGCUUCAUUCCACUUUGCUCGUGCAAUCUUUGUUCUGCCUCGCCAAUGGCUUACAAGUUACUCACGUUUGGUGCUACUCUGUCACUCGUUUCUCUCCCAGAGUGUUCAGGAGUUCUCAAAGCAAAGAUGGAAGAGCAGGUGUUGGAUCCUUCUUCUCAAAUAGUAACUAUCAAUUUCAUAGUAAUGGUGAUUUAUUCAGAGUCAAUUUUUCCUUCAAGGCCUUCUUAACUUUAUUAGGCUUUGAUGGUGGAUUGGAUCACCCACUGUCCUGGCAAUAUUCUUAAAAUCUAUGCAUAGCAUCCAGCACUUGAUAUCAGACUACUUGGACCAGCCGAACUCAUAAUCCUCCAGAAAUUUCUCAGUGGAUGUAUUCUGAAACAGGAAAGAAGUGAACUUUUCAGGAAGAGACCAACUAGGAGAUAUUUAGCUCCAAGAUACAAACGCUGUUUCAGAAAGCUCCAGCAAAACAGAAAACUGAAUUAUCUCUAUUUUUGUUAUCAUAUGCAGAGGAAGACAAUAGUAAUGCUACUGACUUUAAAAGAGUAAGAACAGCGUGAGAGCUCGUACCAAAUCAGUGUGGUGGGUACCAUGGAUAAUCCCUGCUAUCAUGUAAUGAGUGACCGGAAUUCUGGAUACUUUCAGAGACAUCUCAGUUGUCAUAGAAGCUGUGUGGUUUUUUCUACUUGCAUUUCUAUUUUUUGGCAGAAUUACUGUACCAAAUAAUUUGUCAGGUCGCUACAGCAUUGGAGAUUUACAUACACAGUACCUGAUAAAGUAUCCCUGAAGCUACUUUAUGGGCAUUGAAGUGGCAGCCCAAUAUGGCUCUGGCAAAAAUCAGUGGUGAUGGCAUCAUUAUUGACUCUUAACAGAACCAAGGUGAGGUCUGUUUAGUAUUAACUGAAGAGCACAGGUCAAUCUGACAGGGGCUUAGAUUUCUUUAGCUUGAGUUGUGUGUAUUUAGAUAAGAUUUUCUACAUUAACUAAAAUAAAAUAAAUCUAGAAACUAGUGAGAAUUGCUUUUUGCUUAUUUUUGAAACGUCUUUUUGAACUGUGCCAAUAUCUUUGAUUUGUUCAUUGAUAUUCCUGUCAAUUGUCUUGCAGAGUUUUGAUUUUUUUAAUCAGAAUUGAACUUUGUCUGCUCAAGUUAGCAUAAGUUAGCCCUCAGAUUUUCAUAUUUUUCUUUAAGCUCACACUUUGUUCUUCUUUACUUGCCAAAAGUAGUAGUCACCCAAAUUCUAAACACAGAUAACAUCAGUGCAGAUUUGUACACCUGCAGUACUUUAUUUUAUGACUAGAAUUAAUGAAAGUACUUUUUUUUAAUAACAAAGGAUCACGUCUUUGGUAAUUUUAGGGUGUUUUUUUUUUUCAUGUUUAUCAUUCCAAAAUUCAUUUGAAGCAGAAAUGUUAUUAUAUAAAUAGAAAAGAUAAUUAAUUUGCAGUAUGUUUGAACAAAAAAAUUGUAUAAAUUUACCUUUAGGAAGAAAUAGAAUCAUAGAUCAUUGACUGGCUUAGGUUGGAAGGGACCUUAAAGAUCAUCAAGCCUCAACCCCUGCGGUGGGCUGGCUGCCCCCCCCAGCUCAGGCUGCCCAGGGUCCAUCCAGCCACGCCCUGGGCACUGCCAGGCAUGGGCACCCAUAGCUCAGGGCAGCAGUGCUGCAGCCUCGCCACCCUCUGAGCAAGGAAUUUUUUCUUAAUAUCUAUUCUAAAUCUUCUCUUUUAGUUUAAAACUAUUCCCCCUGGUCCUAUCACUAUCUGUGUAAAAAGUUGCUCUCCCUCCUGUUUAUAAGAUCCCCUCAAGUACUGGAAGGCCACAAUGAGGUCUCCCCAGAGCCAUCUCUUCUCUGGGCCAAACGAGCCCAGCUACUUCAUCCUUUCUUCACUAGAGAGGUGCUCCAGCCCUAUAAACAUAUUUGUGGCCCUCUGGAUCCACUCCAACAGACCCACAUCCUUGUGCUGGGGACCCCAAGCCUGGACGCAGUAGUCCAGAUGGGGUCUCAUGAGGGCAGAGCAGAGGGGAACAUUCCCCUCCCUCCCUGCUGCCACCUCUCUGUUGAGGUGGCACUGUUGGUGUUCCAAGCUGUGAGCACACAUUUCUGGCUCACGUCUAGUUUUUUGUCCACCAGGAUCCCCAGGUCUUUCUUUGCAGGGCUGCUCUUCAGAAAUUCUUCUCCAAUUCUGUACUCUAUUUGGGAUUGCCCCAACUCAAGUGCAACCCCCUUCACUUGGCCUUUUUGAAUCUCAUUAAGCUCACAUGUGCCUGCUUUUCAAGCCUGUUCAGGUACCUCUGGAUGACAUUCCUUCCUUCUAUUGUGUCAACUGCACCACUCAGCUUGGUGUCAUCAGGAAACUUGCUGAGGGUGCACUCGAUCCUCCUGUCUGUGUCAUUGAGAAAGAUGUUGAAGAACACCAGUCCCAAGACAGACUCCUUUUACCUUCUCCCAGCAAAUCUGUUUUCCAAAACUUACUGCUGCUAGAAUAUUUCAGAGUAAAGGUUGAUCAUGGCUUUCAUUGUUUUUUAUUUUUUUCUUUUCUGUUUUUUUUUUUCAUUUUUGUCACUUAACAAGAUCCAUAUGAAAGUUAUUGAAGUAAACAGUGAUAAAGUAUGUUAUUUCACAAACAUGCCCUUGAAUACAUUUAUUGUUUUCACGUGAGCCUUCAUAGAACAGCAUUGCCAAAUUAUAGGACAAAGGACCUACUCACUGAACAGCUCUUGCAAACACCUUCCCAUUGACUAAAAGGGGACUGUUGAUAUCCAGCAUGAUACAGAAAGGACUAGUUAUCUUAAGUAUCAUGUUUAGGAGUACAGAAUACACCCAGCAUAGGGCAUUUGGGAUCCAGCACUGCUGACAGCAGUGCUGUUGUGGUAGGGGAGUGGAUUCAGGUUAGACAAAGAAAUAGUCCUGGAGUUUUGUCUCCACUCAAACUAACAACGGAAUGGAAUGCUGACUCACUCAGACUCAGUAACUAGACACAAGCUAUUCAAUUUGGCAGCUGUACUAAGGAUAGCAGCAACUUUGAAAUACUCUGUUGAUUGUAUCUUUAUCUGUGAGGUAUUGAAUUGGAUGAGAGACUGUUAGAGAAAGAACUUUUCCUCUGGUGGACCAGAAAACCUGCUGCAGGGCUUGCUGUGUACUAGGGUCAUAACAAGCUCGUUGGUGGGAUGCUUCAGGAGGUGUAAACCUAUUUUAGCAUAUGAAAGAGUAUUACUCAUGGGUAGCUGGAGAUCAGCGUGUAUGGCCUUAUGAGUCAGAAUUUGGAAAUUGCUGGGGUAGUAACAGACCCAGUCUGCUAUUGUGUGGGCAGUGAACUCGGAGUACGUCGUGAAAUGUUUACAGCAGCAGUAAGCAAAAAAACCAAAAUUCUUUGUAGUUCUGAAUUUUCUGCCUCAGAGAUCUGUUUCCUCUGUUGAGCUGUGAAGAAACGAGAUAAUAGAAAGAAUUUGAUUUUGUCAAAAUACAUUAUUACCUAUUACAAUUUUUGUAUCUUUGUUGUUUACUACCGUAGUGUAUUAUCAAGCAUAAUAACAAGUGUCAUUAAAAAAAUUGUACAGCAGUAAGACCUUGCUCAUUUCCAAAGGGCCUUAUCCUAACUUUAAGCAAUUCUUAGUGUUACCUUAUUACAGAACCCCACUCAUCCCCCCCUGCUUUCCCUCUUAUAACACUAUGCACAGAAAGAAGGCAGGGUCCUUAUCUUUACAGGAAUCACCUCUCCUAUGUUUUGUAAGCAGAAUGACACGUUACAAAACAUCAUCUUAGUCUAAGUGAAGUAGUCCUCUACUUUCUCAUAAUUUGCUAAUCGUAAGGUUAUAAUAUUUGAAACAGAGUUUCUUAACAGAGCUGGAGGUCUCUGUUAGUAGUACCCAAAUACUGAUGAGUUUAUUCCCUCCCUUUUGCAGCAGCUGUUGAGGGUUGGUUUGAUUUCACUGUUAGCAACAAAUAGAGGUCAGAUUUUUGUAACAGCUGCAUUUUGUAGUUACAUUUAAAAUACCAUCAAAACAACCAAAAUUUGCAUCAGCUUUUAAUCCAGAAUAGCAAGUGAACAAGUUUGUAAAUGUUUAAAUCAAAGAUCAGUCCCUCAUUAAAGAAUUCUGUAGCAUUACAUGACAUUUAUACAGGAUUCUUUCUCUUUAUUGCAUUCACUGUGUAACUUAAGCAACUGCCCAUAUCAAUGCCUGUGGGUACAGAGGUUAUUUCUCAGGGGUUAUGCUGCAGUGUACUUGCCCACAAUACUAUUUGAUCAUUUAUUAUAAGAGUUGUAACAAGGUCUAUGCAGAUCUGUUUGUUACAGUGUUUUUGGCUUAAGCUUGGGUGCUAAGGUUCACAAAAGACUUAAAGAACAUUUGAUUUGUUUCUGGAAGUACAACCUAUGACAUCUUUCAGAAAUAAAAAUAUUAUUUAGAGACAUCAACUUUAUGUUUCUGUGGUUCAGGCAGCUCCAUGCCUGCUGUUGGAUUUCACUUCCUCACCAUAUAUGCUAGAGAAGACUGCAGAUAAUAAUGCAUGCAUUAGUAUUUUUACCAGGCCUCUUUCUCAUUUGCUAUAUAUCAACUUUUACAGAAAUAAAGUUGAUUGGUACAUAAAACGAAAAGGAAAACAAUGCUUUUUAAAAAUCACUGUAGACAUAAGUGGCUUUUGCCACUUAGAAGCUUCUUGAUUAGUCAAAUGCUUUCUUUAAUGCGUGAGAAAUGAAUAAUAACCAAUAUUCCAUGUAUGUUAAUUAUGUUGAUUCAUUGAAAAUAGUGUAUCUCAGAGUUUGAGUGAAACAAUCAUUGUACCCAACCACUUGUUUAUGAAAACCUGCUGCCUUAGUAUGACUUUCUGAGCAAUACAGAAACAAAUCCCUUAGUCUUGCUAAUGAAUUUAACAUGGAUUUGGAGAUACUGUUUGAGACAAAUGCAAGUUUUUGUGAAUUCAGUGGGGACCAUGUGCAAGGAUCGGAUACAGAUGUGCAGAGCCAAGACAUCCUUCCAAGGCUGAGUUCCACACCUGGGGUGUAUUAUUUUUCCUGACCAUAUUGACUUUGUCAUAAAAGCACCUUCUGUCUUCCUCUUCAGAGGAAAGGAAGAACAUGAAAGCCUGUAAGUCUUAAAGUGUUUUUUUAUUCCCAUUUUGGUAGUUAACCCUCAGCGUGUUGCUGCCCUCCAUCCAGCAAGAGGAUCAAAGUCAUUUUACUGCACAGGUAAACAGCAGAAAAAACCAAAGUGAUCACAUACUUUGUACAGCAAAGUAAUGUUAUUCCUCUGAUACUGGUAUAUAUUUUUUACAAGCCUAUUCCUUAGAUGCUAAAUGGUCAGCAUUAGUUAUCUUGUUGGAUUUUGGCUCAAGAUCUUUGAACACUUAAGGGAUGCAAUUUCCAAACAAAACAAAACUCUUUCAAACAAGAAGUGUGCAUGUGUAAUUUUUCCUGGAAGGUAUCCCUGGACAUGAAGACAGUACCUUACAAGAUCUGCUAUGGGUCUGAUAGUACAGCCAUUUCUUAUGAAGCUGCAUUAAUGAGAUUUUUUGCUACUAAAAUAUUGCUGUACUAAUUUUUUACUGUGUCUUAAAUUGAGUCUGUCAUAGAAGCUGGUUGAUUUUAAGAUAUUCAGCUGUUGUGAUGGUGGCCUCAUCUAUGUUCAUAAUAUUUGUGCAAGCACUACUGCAGACCCCCAUACCCUCAGCAUAUGUCUCAGCAUACUGUUAGGCUGUGUCAUAUUUUAUACUCAGUGGUGGUGGCAGUAGGUGGAAGAUCUUGGCUGAUUUGGUAGGAAUUUCUAGUAGAAUGGCUAAGGAGGCGUCCUGACUCAUCACAGCCAGUACAGUGGUGUUAGUUCAGGAACUGAAUCACAGGCAGCUCAGAUGACCUUACAUCCAGGAUGGAGUGGAAAUCUGAGCUGUGGGAACAGUUUGUCAAAGACAUACUGUUAGGGCUCUGAUGUCAGUGCCUGCAAUAAUUCCAGCUCACGUUUUAGCAUCAAGCUUGCAUGAUCUUUGAGAAGAAUUUCUGUGCAAUUUGUUCUCUAGUGGACUGAACUUGAGAUGAUUGCUAAAUAUGUGUAUCAGGCAAACCAGGAAAACCUUAUCAAGUGCCGCUUAACACACUUGCAUUUGAGAGAGGUAAGUUUUAUGGUAAUAAAAUCCAUGUACAACAGCAGAAAAAUUCCUUGGCUUUUUCCAUGAAAAUUCUCCAAAUGAAGAAGUCUCAUUUAGGGAUGCACUGUUCAAUAUUUCUAGCAGCUCAUCUUUGCUAGAAGAGAUGCUGAUACUGAGAUAUUCUUACAUACAAAAUUAAUUCCAAAAUAUGUAUCAAAUUAACUGAACAAGCUGGUUACACAUAACAUGCUUUGCAGUAGCUGAAUUUGUAGUAACAGGAUUCCUCAUGUACUUUAGGCAUUUUUAAUGUCUCUAGAAAGGAAUAAAAAUACACUUUAAUUAUUUUAGAGAAAGUUCAUGUGAUUGAAUGUGUAUGUGCAUACUAAUAUAUAACACAUCAGGUUUUUCAGCUACAUAUCCUAUAUAAUAUGAUUGUUGUGGGAAUACAAGAAAAACUGUUCAGAGCAGCAGCUGUGGAACGAGAUAAACAGCAUGAGAACCAAGGACACCACUAGAUGAAGAAAGAAUGGCUCACGGCUCUGAUUGGAUAAGUGCCUGCAUGAACAGUUGAAGAGUGUUUACAGAAUGCUCUGUUGACAUGUAAAGGUGGAUGAGAAAGUUGUAGGGGUGGAUGGGAAAGCUAGAAAAAGAAAACUUGUGAAAGUAUAUAGGUGAUGUGAGAACUUGUAUUAAAUGAUUUGGAUUAUUCACAUCUGAGUCCGUGCAUCAGAUGCUGCAGAUUGUGACAGACCAUUUUAGCUAAUUAUCCCUGGUGAGAUCAAAAGUUUAUGAUAAGCCCGUCCACUCCAUAUGGGUUCAGGAAUGUGUAUGUAUAGAGCAGAGAAACAGGUUAUUCCCUAUCCCAUUCUCCUAAUGGAAAGUUUUCCUAAAGGAAACUGGUUAUAGGAAACUAUAAGGCAUUCAGUAUUGUUUACAAACAUGAAAAUACUAAAUUCUGAUAUGGACGACGUAUAUCACUUGUACAUGUAUAGAGAACUUGCAUAUUGGUGUUAAUUUUGCUGUGUCUUGCAUGUACUGGAGGUAUCGUGCAAGCCAUCUGUACCACAAGUGUGAAGGAGAUCCAACAAACCCAGCAAGACACAGACUCUUGAAGGGUGCCGGGAGGACCUCAUUGUGGCCUUCCAGUACUUGAAGAGAGCAUAUAAACAGGAGAGAGAAAGACUGUUUACAUGUGUUGAUAGUAAUAGGACAGGGGAGAUAUUAGAAGGAAGUUUUUUCACUCAGAGGGUGGUGAAACACUGGAACAGGUUGCCCAAGGAGGUUGUGGAUGCCCUAUCCCUGGAAGCAUUCAAGACCAGGCUGGAUGUGGCUCCCAGCAGUCUGGUCUAGUUGUUGGCGACCCUGCACACAGCAGGGAGGUUGAAACUAGAUGAUCUUCGAGGUCUUUUUCAACCCAGGCCAUUCUGUGAUUCUACAAUUCUUUUCUGAGUUGCCAUAUUGCUCUUCAAUAACCUUACAGUUGCAAAUGGGAAGCAUUUGUACGAUUAACCGCAAGUUUAUGUCAUUCAGGAAUACCAGCAAUAAAUGCCUUCCCUCUUCCACUAUUCAAAACAGAAACCAUGCAAAGUUUCAGAGCUUUUUAUGGAGUAUGUUCUUCCUGGAUGUUUUAAUACUGCAGAGGAAACAACAUGCACUUUUCCUGUCCACUGAUGCUAGCAAUGGGCAUAUCUCAGCUCUGGCACUGCCAGCAUCCAGCACAUGCCGCUGGCUGUAUAGAGCAUCCCCAACAGGCUGCAUCAAUUCAGCCCUUGGUGGAUCUCGUAGUAGUUCUGGACAUAAAGUACAUGUUUAAAGAAAACAAGCAUUAACUAGUGGCAGAUUUGAUUAACA